rnacentral:lncRNA from 1 species
GUAUCUUCUUAGAAGAUACAAAAAAAAAAAAUGCUCCUUAAAGAUGGGCCAUUAUUAUGAAUUUAAGAUUAUCUCCAUAUCCAGAAAGUGCAAGUGUUCCUGUUUUAUUUCCUUUGUGGGCUUUAAGGCUUUUGCAUAAGUACUUUUCCCUUUGCUUUCCCACUGUCCAUUCCAGGUCAUUAUAAAGAAAUCAUUGGUAUAAGAGUUGGUCUAGCACUGCCCAGUCAGAAAGAGAAUUCUCAUAUCAGAAAGUAGAAGGGAGUUAGAAGUCUAUGCUUACUAUGACAAGAUCCAGCCUACAUAAGUACGUCCUGGGUAACUAGCACUCUUUGUCCAAGGAGAACAGGAUAGCUCCCUUGACUGUCUGACUAGGGGAAAAAUUACUAUUUCCCCAGACGCAAUCCAUUAUCAGUUCUUGAGAGCAGAGCCAUAAUGGAUAAAGGAGAGUCCCUCAAUCUGUUUGUUUAUGCAGUACACUUGAAAUUUAGUCAAGCACACAACUUUUAUCCACACAACUAAUGGAAUAAAGAUAUAAGAUAGACACAUUUCAUUAUGACGGAUUCUGACCCUAGAAUCAUUCGGUAUUCACCGCUAAUUCAUGUUGAAUCCUCAGCUGUAUUCACAGAGCACUGGCAGUGGUAUGAAACUCUACUAAGUGGAACAUCUGAGACGUUUUCUGUGAUUAAUGUGCCUAACAGCAAAAUUUUCUAUAUUCUACCGCUAAUUCCAUGAUGUACUCAAGUAGCCUAACUUAUAACACAUAUGUCUCUUUUCUGCUUUCCUUGGGUCUCAUGCCCCAAUUUUAAAAUCUCUAUGGCUAUCAGACCAUAUAUAGAAAUGCUAUCUCCCGGUUACACUUGAUUUUGUGCCAAUACCAUGAUUCAUUUUAUACAGGUAGCUCAAUCUAGCGUUUCCUCUCCAGCCUAAAAUCUCAUCGUGUUUUGUUCAGCUCACUGGAUCAAAAAUAUAUUGCCAUAUCAUUUUCUCCACUGGAAAACACUCUUACUAUCAUUAAUUUUUUUUCAUAGAAAUCAGGCUUUAUCCUUUGCGCACUGUUCCUCCUCUUCCCUACCAACAGCUCUCUCCAUUCCUGCCUAAAAUUGUUCACCAUUCCAAUAAAGUGAUAUACUGGAAUGGAAAAAAAUUUGGUUUCAGUCUUGGGGAUCAAUUUAUGAUAAUCUUAAAUAAGCCUCUUUUUAAUUGAUGAGUCUAUUGCAA